GGUCCCCUCAUUUGGAUCCGUGUCAAUUCCGUCAACAACGAGCUGUGGGGCUUAACCGAUCGUCAGGAAGUUGUCCGCCGUCUGGGUAUAUCCGCGACCGAUCACGUCGGUGUGGGCUGGUCAGGCGUAAUACAAGAGGCGAUCAAGGUGGUGUCCGUUGGUCAGGCAGGAGUCUGGACAGUAAAUAGUACGAACGUUGUCUUUUACAGAAUCGGCACCGGCAACGGAAUCGGAGGUGAAGGUACUGGCUGGGAACUGGUGGAUGGCUCACUGAAGCAGGUUUCCUCUGGUGAUGGUGUCGUGUGGGGCGUGGAUGAAAACAACAAUAUAUUCAAACGCACCGGUAUAAAUGAUACAAAUCCGACUGGAACAGAGUGGCAGCCUAUUUCCGGUACACUCAGCAAAGUGAGCGUGAGUUCAGCGUCGAACUUCGUGUGGGGACUGGACGGUGACAGUGUAUAUCAACGCAUGUUCUAACAUGUACAAAUACCUUCAAAUUGUAUUGUUCGUAGUCGUUGCCCUUCAAAUAUUCUUGGUACGUGCUUAGCACGUAUGAAUACAUUUAAAAUAGAAUAACAACGGUAGUUAUAGCUGUAUAUAUACAAUGCUGGCUAUUGGUCAGAGAGCUAUAGCCUGGUCUGCAGCUUAAAAACAACUUAAAAAAAAUAAUGUAUCUAUAUGUACGAAACAGAGUCGAUAUUAGUGACACGAUAUAAAAAUCAUGGAACCUUCUUCAAAGUCAGUUCUUGGCGAGGCUAUACAUUUCACAUCGAAGUUCUAAACGUGGUAUAAUACUUUUAACAUAUUUUAUUAGACGUGUGCAUAUUAGUAGCGCGUCGUCUUGGCAGGUGUGAAUAGA